UACGUAGGGACCGAGCGUUGUCCGGAAUCAUUUGGGCGUAAAGAGCGUGUAGGCGGCCACUUAAGUCCUGCGUGAAAUCUUGCGGCUCAACCGCAAGCGGUCGUGGGAAACUGGGUGGCUAGAGUGCGGGAGAGGAGAGUGGAAUUCCUGGUGUAGCGGUGGAAUGCGCAGAUAUCAGGAAGAACACCCGUGGCGAAGGCGGCUCUCUGGAACGCAACUGACGCUGAGACGCGAAAGCGUGGGGAGCAAACAGG
rnacentral:rRNA from 1 species